GUUCCCCUAUUGAGUUAUAUCCUCAUUAGGACGAGUCUUGAUUCAGUUCGCCUCUUUGGUUUGAUCCUAAAUUGGCCUCUUGUGACUGUUUCUUGUGUUUCCCCGUGGUAUAGAUGAAUAAUUGCUCAAUAACCAGUAAUUACCCGUCCUAUCCCUGGCGGAGCCUGUGGUUUUCGACCCUUGUACCGGUAGUUGUGAAUCCUACUUUCUCCCCUUUGU
rnacentral:lncRNA from 1 species